GCCUCCCUCUUUCUUCGUGCUUAACACAUGCAAGUCGAACGGAAAGGCCCUGCUUUUGUGGGGUGCUCGAGUGGCGAACGGGUGAGUAACACGUGAGUAACCUGCCCUUGACUUUGGGAUAACUUCAGGAAACUGGGGCUAAUACCGGAUAGGAGCUCCUGCUGCAUGGUGGGGGUUGGAAAGUUUCGGCGGUUGGGGAUGGACUCGCGGCUUAUCAGCUUGUUGGUGGGGUAGUGGCUUACCAAGGCUUUGACGGGUAGCCGGCCUGAGAGGGUGACCGGCCACAUUGGGACUGAGAUACGGCCCAGACUCCUACGGGAGGCAGCAGUGGGGAAUAUUGCACAAUGGGCGGAAGCCUGAUGCAGCAACGCCGCGUGCGGGAUGACGGCCUUCGGGUUGUAAACCGCUUUCGCCUGUGACGAAGCGUGAGUGACGGUAAUGGGUAAAGAAGCACCGGCUAACUACGUG
rnacentral:rRNA from 1 species